rnacentral:rRNA from 1 species
UACGGAGGGGGCAAGCGUUGUUCGGAGUUACUGGGCGUAAAGCGCGCGUAGGCGGUGCGGUAAGUCAGGGGUUAAAGGCUGCAGCUCAACUGCAGUAAGGCCUUUGAUACUAUCGUGCUAGAGUGUCAGAGAGGAUGGCGGAAUUCCCGGUGUAGCGGUGAAAUGCGUAGAUAUAGGGAGGAACACCGGUUGCGAAGGCGGCUACCUGGCCGGUAACUGACGCUGAGGCUCGAAAGCGUGGGUAGCAAACAGG